AGCUUCUGUGGUGAAGAAAUUACUUCAUUAAGUUCAACUGUAGAACGAAAGAAAAGGAAAAAUAAAAAUUCAAGCCUUUAAUAGAAUCUCAAAAGAUAGAGAUAGUUUCUUCAAGUGCUUGAAUGUCUAUAACAUUAAGUUUAAUUGUAGAACGAAAGGAAAGGGAAAAUAAAAAUUGAAGUCUUUAAUAGAAUCUCAAAAGAUAAGAGGUAGUUUCUUCAAGUGCUUGAAUGUCUAUAACAUAUGAACUGUUUCAACAGAAAAUAUUGAAUUGUUCCUUUUAACUGGUCUUUAUUCACUGUAAAGCACUUCUAUACUAAUAAAAAUAGCAGAUACCUCGACAUGAGAGCAAGAAGAUUUCUUGUCCUGCAAUAGUAAUGCAUAGACAAGAGUUCAAACCCAUAAAAGAUGAGCCAUAUAUCAAAAUCUACAUAUAUUUUAGCUUAGAGCCCAAGAAGAGAUGGGUCAUAUAUCAAAAUUUGCAUAUACCUUGCAAGCCCCAGAUUCCUCCAAAUUGAGGCACAUACUAUUUUACAAAAUUGAUUCAUUUUAUCCAAGUUUCAUCAUAGUGAUCUCUACUCCAAUGGAGUACUUGAAGUUUUUCUUUUCCUGGACCAAAACAUAGAUACCACAUUAAAAAGAGUUGAAACAAUUGACUUGUUUAAGACAUCAAGAAAUAUAUACAGAUUUAAGUAGAAAGCACCCUAUAGAGGAAGGAUUCCUAAGAAAAAAAUCUGCAUUUCGUGGAAUACUACAGUCAUGAAGUACUUAAU
rnacentral:lncRNA from 1 species